AACGAACGCUGGCGGCAUGCCUAACACAUGCAAGUCGAACGAGACCUUCGGGUCUAGUGGCGCACGGGUGCGUAACGCGUGGGAACCUGCCCUUAGGUUCGGAAUAACUCCCCGAAAGGGGUGCUAAUACCGGAUAAUGUCUUCGAACCAAAGAUUUAUCGCCUUUGGAUGGGCCCGCGUUGGAUUAGCUAGUUGGUAGGGUAAAAGCCUACCAAGGCGACGAUCCAUAGCUGGUCUGAGAGGAUGAUGAGCCACACUGGGACUGAGACACGGCCCGGACUCCUACGGGAGGCAGCAGUGGGGAAUAUUGGACAAUGGGCGAAAGCCUGAUGCAGCAAUGCCGCGUGAAUGAUGAAGGCCUUAGGGUUGUAAAGCUCUUUUACCCGGGAUGAUAAUGACAGUACCGGGAGAAUAAGCGCCGGCUAACUCCGUG
rnacentral:rRNA from 1 species